UGACUCAGCAACCCCUGAAAGAAUCAAAUCUUUACCUUGCUUGAGAACCCGAGAUGCCUGCUUCACAUUCUACCAUUCACAAAACAGACAAUUACACUUAGUUCCCCUUCCACUCCAUAAACAUAAUAUCAUAACAAACUCAGGCUUUCUUACUCUUUCAAUAGAAUCCAGAGCUCUGGCCCCAGCAAGCUUCAGACUGUCGGUAAUAUCUUCAAGAGGCUUCUGAACCUCCCUGAUAGCUUUAUUGUCAAUGGGUAGGGCAUACCUCAACAAAGCCCCUGGAUCCUUAAUCGGCGGACCGGAGAUCAACAC